rnacentral:rRNA from 1 species
UGGGGAAUUUUGGACAAUGGGGGCAACCCUGAUCCAGCGACGCCGCGUGAAGGAUGAAGGUCUUCGGAUUGUAAACUUCUUUUGAAGGGGAUGAAUGCCCUGGUGAAUAGCCAGGGGUGACAGUACUCUUCGAAUAAGCCACGGCUAACUACGUGCCAGCAGCCGCGGUAAUACGUAGGUGGCAAGCGUUACUCGGAAUCACUAGGUGUAAAGCGCAGGUAGGAGGUUGGAUAAGUCCGUUGUGAAAGCUCCCGGCUUAACUGGGAGAGGUCAACGGAAACUAUCCGGCUGGAGUGCGGUAGAGGUAGCUGGAAUUCCCGGUGUAGCGGUGAAAUGCGUAGAUAUCGGGAGGAAUACCUAUGGCGAAAGCAGGCUACUGGACCGUCACUGACUCUGAUCUGCGAAAGCUAGGGGAGCAAACAGGAUUAGAUACCCCCGUAGUCC